UACGGAGGGUGCAAGCGUUGUCCGGAAUCAUUGGGCGUAAAGGGCGAGUAGGCGGAAAGGUAAGUCAGUAGUGAAAGUUCGGGGCUCAACCCCGAAUCUGCUAUUGAAACUGCUUUUCUUGAGUGUGAGAUGGGAAAGGUGGAAUUCCCGGUGUAGCGGUGAAAUGCGUAGAUAUCGGGAAGAACACCAGUAGCGAAGGCGCUUUCUGGCUCACAACUGCGCUAAAACCGCGA
rnacentral:rRNA from 1 species